rnacentral:rRNA from 1 species
ACUCCUACGGGAGGCAGCAGUGGGGAAUAUUGCACAAUGGGGGAAACCCUGAUGCAGCCAUGCCGCGUGUGUGAAGAAGGCCUUCGGGUUGUAAAGCACUUUCAGUAGGGAGGAAGGUAGUGUAGUUAACACCUGCACUAUUUGACGUUACCUACAGAAGAAGCACCGGCUAACUCCGUGCCAGCAGCCGCGGUAAUACGGAGGGUGCGAGCGUUAAUCGGAAUUACUGGGCGUAAAGCGCAUGCAGGCGGCCUGUUAAGUCAGAUGUGAAAGCCCGGGGCUUAACCUCGGAAUUGCAUUUGAAACUGGCAGGCUAGAGUCUUGUAGAGGGGGGUAGAAUUUCAGGUGUAGCGGUGAAAUGCGUAGAGAUCUGAAGGAAUACCAGUGGCGAAGGCGGCCCCCUGGACAAAGACUGACGCUCAGAUGCGAAAGCGUGGGGAGCAAACAGGAUUAGAUACCCUGGUAGCUACGAG